UUCCGGCUCCUUUAUUACAGAUUAUUUAUAGGAAAUAAGGCACAUACAUUGUCAGUACAUUAUCAUUUAGUACCAGAGUUUAUUUAGCCUUUAUUUUCUGUUCCUGAAUCACGGGGGGCGGAGCCCCAAUGAUUAGAUUUCGGCAGACCUUCUCAGCCCCCCUGACAGUCUGCUCUCUCCGUCCAUCAGUUCUCUGGGUGUCUUCUCAGACGGGGCUACAGCCUGUUUGCUUCACACAGUCACUUUUCAACACGCGGACCCUUGCAGACAGGAAUUCAUGACGAUUUUUACAUCACAGGGACCAAGCGCAAUGCGCACACACGCGGAUAUGUAAAGCAUGGACGAGGCUGCUAGCAGUAGCCGUCAUGCACACGGGCUGCAGGUGUAGCUGUGCAUGGUAGAACAUAAACACAUGCAACGUCUGGCCCGUGAGCCAAAAAAAAACAACAAAAAAAAAACGUCCGGCUCGUGAACUCACCUGUGCACAGCCCUGGACCGAACCAAACGUCACGUACCGGAACAGUUCAAUACAAAUACAUGUGUAGCCCUCUUCCUCAAGUCAAGAUCCAGUCACAGUGUCACAAUACCUCUGACAGAGCAGUUCUCAAAUAAGGCACAGAGAAUGACUUGAUCAGGAGUCUGCUACUACUGGAUGAAUACCAAUGAUGACAAACAGGAGAUUUACACUCUGUCUAGGAUGCAGACAGGCCCAGUAGCUCAAAGGUUCUUUUAAAAGACAGAUAGUAGUGAGAGUAAAGUUACUCUCAUUACUCUCACUUGUUACUGCAACAAGUACCAACGCUGGAUCAGAGAAGCCAUCGAGAUCCGCAAGCGAGGUCCAAGGAGCAUGGACCGUGACGAGGGGGCGUACACCUUGUCACGCACGUGGGACGCAGUCCUGGAGAAGGCCUCAGACAGUAGGGGGCGUAGUUUCCCCCUACUGUCUGGAAAACAUCAGAAGAAGAGCCAGCAGCCUGUUUGACACGUCACUUCCCAUCACGUGACGUGCCUCCUGAGGAAGGUCACCGGAUGUGACCAAAACUAGUAGAAGUAACUUUACUCUGACUACUAUCUGUCUUUGAAAAGAACCUUUUAGCUACUAAGUCGAAUCGAAGACAGUAUGAACCUUUACCCAAGGGCAGACAGGCCCAGUUAGCCGAUUAUGGAGCUAAACUGUAAAUGUGUGUAAAACUGUCCUAAACGAAAACACACAUUAACCCCUCACUCCGAUACACAUUACAUAUGGGGUCACACAAUUUAACAGUCAUAAAAUCACAUUUAUUAGAUGAACUUAUGCACACAAUGUUUAACUCUUUUCAUCAAACCAAUGUCUUCUAAAUGAGAUACCCGGGAUUUUAUAGUUUAGUUUGUUGGUACCAGCUGUUAGCGAGCAUGUUGGAGCUCAAAGGAAAAAAAAAAAAAAAUGAAAAUGUACCUCUAAAAAUCCAAGUUAUAUCCUACCUUUGGCGGAAUCCUCUCCACCGGUCCUCCACUGUACAGCUCUGGUAGAAUCCACACACACUCGAGACCACCGAGAUGACGUCCAGGUCCAGCCUCCGCAACCUGUGUCCUCCCUCACCUCCGUCCUCCUGUCUGUGGUCCUCCAGCAAUGGUUGGUUGGCUGCUCCUCUUCUCCAGCCACGUUAAUUCUUUUGGCUAGCUCCUUCUUUGAGUUGGAGCGACUCGGAAAAAAAGUCCGGCUCAACAUGCACCAAACUGAGCAUUGUAAUGCGUGGUGGUGUCGGCAGAGAAACGCUGUCCUUAUGUGUGCUGCAGGAUGAAUCGAUGAGCGCAGAUUUGCUAGUUCUCACACUUGUAUAUUUUAACUUCAGGAACAGUACAAUAAAGUUUACCACACAUUACUAGAGUGGGCACAGCGGUCCAUUAGUGCUGGACAGAAUUUCGAUAGCAAUAUAUACCGCGGUAUAUUUUUAUUCAGCUGUGUGUCCCUGAAGAGUGACAAUUCCAAGGAGUUCUUCAUUCCAGUUCUUCAUUUCAGAGAACACUCCGACUCUGAGUUUCCAUCCCUGAAGAGAAACCGGUCUGUCAGUGAUCCCUUUUUAUCUAAACCUGGAGCAGGAAGUUCUGAUGAGGGCGUCAGCCAGCAGAGCUCCCAGGUUCUCCAUGGAGGCUCUGCCCCUCAGCAUCAAACACA